GCAGUUCUUGGACUAUAGGGGCGGGGUCCUGACUAAACACAUUGGUCAGUAAAACUGCUGAAAGCAUUGGGCUUUCCGCACCAUUAAUCAAUGGAAGUUUUAAAUGUGAAGGCAGACAGGUUGAUUUAAAGUGUUGCAUUGUGGUAACCUCUCCUGUAUACGGUGACCUGCUCUGGAUCCCGGACAAUCUAUCACUGAGCACAUCACUGUCAAAGCGCAAGGUUUGAUUUUAGAGAUGAAACUCCUGGAAGGGAACCACCAGAAAUUGCCCAUCUUCAAAUGAACUAUGUGUAUUUUGGCCAACUUAGGACCCAAUCCUUUGUUCUUUUGCUACACAAAACUCCCAUAGUGUGUUACAGAAAUGCAGGAAUGGGCUACUUCCCUACACACUGUGAUAAAGAGAGCAAUUCAUAAACUGAUCAUGUUUCAAUGUUAAAGUUACUAAGGGCUAGAUGGUGACUUGGAUUAUACCAUUCAAGCAAAGGACGAAGAACAUCCUUCAUAUCCCUGUGCAGGCUGCCAUAGACCUUGGCUCAGGGAUACAGGCAUAAGCAGGGCUAUCUGCUUGCUCACUCCCUCCCUGGAGCUGUGGGGUGCAGAAAGGGUGCCACUUUGUCUCAAUCCCUUUUUAAAUCAGGUCCAAAAUCAUUUCCCUGCUUUAUACUCUCAACUUCCUGCUUAAACUGAACUUGGAAAAUCUCAGUAUACCAAGCCACGAUUGUUAACUUUCAUGAUUUUUAUCACAAGGCCCCUGGUAUUUGGUAUUUUUACUCAAGCCCCAGCUACUGGAGUCAUGUGACUAAUGCUGAAUCUCAUUUUUUUUAAAGGUAAACCCUAGCCCUUGUGGUUGCAGAGGGUGACCCAAGCAUAAUCUAAAGUCUCAAGAGCCAGAUGGCAAAUGAAAAGAACUCACAUAAUGUUUUGUAAAAACAAGGAGUACUUGUGGCACCUUAGAGAUGAACAAAUUUAGUUAGUCUCUAAGGUGCCACAAGGACUCCUCGUUUUUGCUGAUACAGACUAACAUGGCUACCACUCCGAAACCAUUUUAUUUUGUAAAUCGCAUGGGUUUUUAAAGCCAAUUUCAUGCCUUUGGAAGGCCUGACUCAUCCUAAGGCUUGACAGUGUUGUAAAACUUUAGUAGUCAUUCUGCUACAGGCAUUCAAAGGGGGGUGAGGCGGAGAGGCACAUUUGUCUGGUUCCUGUGCUGCCCUGAAGGCAACCUUGUGCCAGUUUCUUUCAUUGCAAUUUCGGAUAUAAAAUGUGUAGCUGAAUGACUAGUAAGUUUGGAAUAGAUAUUUUUAUUUAUUUUAUUUUUAAUUUUAGAAGGGGAGAUAUUGGCUGUUAAGGUUUCAACAAGUUUCCUCUGAGUGGCAAUGUGCAGAGGCCUCUAAAGUGGAAUUUUUCUUUUGCAAAGGGUUUUAGGAUAGAAAAAGACAAAAUUCCUCCUCUCCUGUGCCAAAGUAACAGCCUCUUACUGUAUGUAUACACAUCUGUAAGACAAGCUUGACUCUGGUAGCUAAGAAGCUGCGCUCUGAUUAUCAGUAAAAGCAGAGACGACUCUUGGUUCUAACACAGGUUAGAGAUCACACCUUUUAAUUAGUCCAGCUCCAGAUUAUUAGGUGUCCUCUGAUCAGUAAUGAUCAAAGAAUGGUUGGUUCGUGUCAGCAAAUGACACUGAUAAACCACAGACUCUUGUAAAAUAAAUUAGUUCUGUGGCACUUAUCUUUCUCCUCUCUCACAGAUUUUUUUUUAAAAAAAUCAUAUUUUGACAUUUAAGAAUGAAUAGAUGCCAGUCACAGCCUACCUUACUGAUGUUUGAUUUGUUUCUUCAUUGCAUCCAUGGUGCACCGGCCCCCAUCCAGAACAUACAGACACAUUUCCUACAAUGAAGAACAAGAAGGUAAAAGGAAAGGAAACCUUGUAGCUAAGGCACUAGACUCGGAUAUCUGAGCUCAGUUCCUGGCUAUAUCUUUCCACAGGCUUCUUAAUCUCUCUGUGCCUCGUUCCCUGAUGAGCAUGAUGCUCUCACCUCUCUUGUCUGGCUUAUCUAUUGAAAUUUUAAGCUCUUUGGAGUAGGUUCUCUCUCUGCUUGUGUGUGUACAAUAUCUGGCAUAACGGCGUUAGUUCUCAGUUAGUCCCUCAACCUGCUGCAGUGCAUCAGUGUAUUUUUUGUGGUCCCUGGCUAUUUGGUGCCAUGCAUCUUCCUUUUGUGUUUAUGCAACAUACUUCUGGGUUAAUGUUGGGUUUUUUUAAACAAGAAAUCUUCUUUUCACAAUAAAACUCUAAUUACAAGUUAACAUUUAUUUGAUUCCUUGUGACAAUACUGGUGACUCUGUAGACCACAUUAUGGAAAGGGAGUAUGCCAUAUAAAAAAAAUCAUGUUUUGUUCAUUUUCCUCUUGAAUAUAUCCUCUCGUGUCUCUACCUACUA